AAUAAUUGCAACGAAAUGGCAAGUAACAUUGAAUUAAAUGUGAAUCAUGCAAAAAGACUGAAAUAGUAUUUUCUUGUAAAUCUGCUUUAUUUACAGCUUUGAAACAAUAUUACCACCAAAUCUUGGAUUCAAUCUUUUUAUCAACUUGUUUUCUUUUCGACUGAUCGUAGGCCACAUUGAUGUGAACUAAUGCACCUCUGUUUUUGAGUGAAUAUUGACUUCAGUGUGAACAGUUAGGUUAAAAUUAACUUGAUAUUUAUGGCAAUUCAACUUGAAAGUUUCAUUUUGCCUUUGGCAUGAAGAUGAAAGUAGUUUAACAUGGAGAGACGACUCUAGGACCACAAACGCUCAAUAUUUGAAAUACUUUACAACAGAAAGCGUAGUGAAGCAUCGCCACAGGCACUCAGAGCCUCAGAAAAAAUACAAACAGCCUCGGGCUUCAGCACAAAAGAGCAACAUUAUUUGUUCACGCUAGAAUGAAAACGGCCGUAUUUAAAAGGUCAUGUUAACAUGCAAACAUAAAUUGGAGGAAAUCAGAAUUGACUUUCAGUGUGAAUGAAGCCUGAGAUGCCGCUUCGCUCGUGGACUUUAAUUGAGACGGUCCACUUCAAUAUUUAAAAAGGGGCUCUGGAGUUUUCAGUGCAGAUGCUGUCACUUUACAGUGGGUUUAAAUAUGAGAGCAGAACUAGACUACUGGAGAUCUUGUCUUUGUGUCUAGUUUGGACUUAGUCAUAGCAGCUGAAACAUUGUACCUAUAUUGUCCAUUCCUGGUUGAAGCAAACACCCUUAUAGUAUCUGUCUGUUAUUAUGUGAUUAAAUAUAGGAACAUCUGCUUCAUAUAUAUAUAUAUACUGCUGUAGUUUGGGAUCAGUAAGAUUUUUAAUGUUCUCUUCUGCUCAUCAUGUCUGCAUUUAUUUGAUGCAAAAUACAGGGGGAAAAACAGCGAAAAAAAUUUCCAAUUUAAAAUAGCUGUUUUCUAUGUUAAUAUAUGAUAAAUUGUAAUUUAUUUCUGUGAUGCGCAGCUGUAUUUUCAGCAUCAUUACUCCAGUCUUCAGUGUCACAUGAUCCUUCAGAAAUUAUUCUAAUAUGCUGAUUUGCCUCUCAAGAACCAUUUCUGAUUAUUAUCAAUGUUGAAAACAGUUGUGCUGCUCAAUAUUUUUGUGGAAAACAUCAUACAUUUUAUUUUCCUGGACUGACAGAUAAAUAGAAAUUUCAAAAGAACAGGAUUUAUUUAAAAUAGAAAUCUAACAACACAGGUCUUUCCUAUCACAUUUUGUCAAUUUAACACAUCCUUGCUGAAUAAAUGUAUUAUUUUUUAUCAAAAGAAAUGGAUUUCUAUUUUAAAUAAAUGCUCUUCUUUUCAACUGUGCUUUAAAAACCCUGAAAAAAAAGUAUCACAGGUUUAAAAAAAUAUUA
ensembl:lncRNA